rnacentral:rRNA from 1 species
UGGCGGACGGGUGAGUAAUGUCUGGGAAACUGCCUGAUGGAGGGGGAUAACUACUGGAAACGGUGGCUAAUACCGCAAAACGUCGCAAGACCAAAGAGGGGGACCUUCGGGCCUCUUGCCAUCAGAUGUGCCCAGAUGGGAUUAGCUUGUUGGUGAGGUAACGGCUCACCAAGGCGACGAUCCCUAGCUGGUCUGAGAGGAUGACCAGCCACACUGGAACUGAGACACGGUCCAGACUCCUACGGGAGGCAGCAGUGGGGAAUAUUGCACAAUGGGCGCAAGCCUGAUGCAGCCAUGCCGCGUGUAUGAAGAAGGCCUUCGGGUUGUAAAGUACUUUCAGCGGGGAGGAAGGUGUUGUGGUUAAUAACCGCAGCAAUUGACGUUACCCGCAGAAGAAGCACCGGCUAACUCCGUUCCAGCAGCCGCGGUAAUACGGAGGGUGCAAGCGUUAAUCGGAAUUACUGGGCGUAAAGCGCACGCAGGCGGUCUGUCAAGUCGGAUGUGAAAUCCCCGGGCUCAACCUGGGAACUGCAUUCGAAACUGGCAGGCUUGAGUCUUGUAGAGGGGGGUAGAAUUCCAGGUGUAGCGGUGAAAUGCGUAGAGAUCUGGAGGAAUACCGGUGGCGAAGGCGGCCCCCUGGACAAAGACUGACGCUCAGGUGCGAAAGCGUCGGGAGCAAACAGGAUUAGAUACCCUGGUAGUCCACGCCGUAAACGAUGUCUACUUGGAGGUUGUGCCCUUGAGGCGUGGCUUCCGGAGCUAACGCGUUAAGUAGACCGCCUGGGGAGUACGGCCGCAAGGUUAAAACUCAAAUGAAUUGACGGGGGCCCGCACAAGCGGGUGGGAGCAUGUGGUUUAAUUUCGAUGCAACGGCGGAAGAACCCUUACCUGGGUCUUGGACAUCCACAGAACUUUUCCAGAGAUGGAUUGGGUGCCUUUCGGGAACUGGUGAGAACAGGUGCUGCCAUGG